GCGAUCGGCUCGCGUGCUGUGCAUUCGCGGCGCAUUCGCCAGAUGUGGACGCACCCUAAGAAAGACGACCCACUGACCGAAAUAUGUUCAUGUGGGGUGUAAAACAAGUAGGCUAUGGCUAUCAGGUAACAUAGGCGGGAGACCAUACAGUACAAUACAUACCAAGUACCCAGAGUCUAGGCUGGCCAUAAAUAUGAGUCAUCUGAAAUCCACCUAAGUAUUUGAUAAGAUAACCUAUUAAAAUGUAAGAAAGGUUUUUAAGGCACACGUGAGGCUGUUAAUACUGAUCAAGACUAUUAUUUUUCUUUUAACUAAAACUGGUGGGAAAUCAUCAGACAAUCUCUCCUGAUGUGGGUGCAGUGUGAGGGAGUGACUUUUAUACUGACUAAAACCCACCAUGAUCCUUCCGGAAGUUCCGGAGACCCUUUUGAUCCUGGCCUUUUGGGCCGCGUUAACUCAAGGCGGUGUUUUAAGGCCUUGACUAGACUGUUUAUUCAGCUGCUCUCAUAAAUCAAGCAGUCACCAAAUCAUUAUAACUGUUGUAGGUAUUGAAAAAACGUUUUAAACUGAAUUAAUGAUAAACAUGGACACAUUACUCACCGUAAGCCGUAUAAGUUCAGAUCGAUCUCUACGUAAUUUAAUUGAUCAUACGUCAAUGCUAUGUCAAUAUCGUACCCGCUUCAUCGAAUGCGUGGUAGUCUGAUAUUCAAUUAUACAUAUGUUGAUUUUUCUUUAAGUAGAUACAUACACCUCCGUAGCGUUUUCCCUAAUAUACCUAUUGGGAUCAAA